UCAAAAUUCAUAAUUGUGGAAGGCUUGAGAAAAGGAAGAGAAAAGAAAACCACUCUAAAAUGGGAAAUUGGUGAACUCCGAACAGAUCUGAGAUUCUGAAGGUCUUGCAGAACAUCGGGACAGAGAUAUCCUCAACAUCCAAGAGGUUGCCGAUGAACGAAAUUAUUAAUCUAUAUCGUUUGAAUGGUAUGACCUUUAAUUUUAUGCAAAUUCUUGAAGUCUUUAAGAUAAUAAUCUGCCGAUUAAGCUUUUUUACUGUUUAGAUCGGCCGUCGAUCUAACAAUGAAGAUGACGGUGUCACUAGCGGCUGCCGUCCGGCGACCCCAAAGCAGCCAGUUUUCAGUUUUCCAGAAAUUAAUACCAUAUAUAUUAGAUUUUUAAUUUAAUUAGAUUUUUAUUUUAGAAAACAGGAAUUUAGCUUCUUCAUUUGUAGAUCUGCAGAGCACCACAAAGACUUAAAACAAUUUGCAUAGAUCUAAAGGUAUUGUCAUCCAAACGGUCUAAAUUGGUCUAAAUUAAUCAUUAACGAAUUUCGUUUAUCGGCGGCCUCUUGGGAUGUUUGAUCGUCUUUGUCUCCGUGUUCUGCAAAGUCUUGAGAAUCUCACUCAUCUGUUUGAGAAUUAGUCAAUUUCCCAUUUUCGAGUGGUUUUGUUUUCUUCUUCCUGAAGAAGAAAGAGGCCCUUUAUAUAGAUCUGAUGAUGAGGGGUUAAUGCCACUUGGAGCCUAAAUUUGCUGCUGCAUACGUGAUUUGAUGGGAUGAGGACGAACAUAUGAUUUGUGAUUUGAUGGGAGAAUGAGGAAACAAAAUCUUGUGUAAACACUCAGAAACUGCUGCGUUGGUCUACUACACUGCAUGAUUGUGUAUCAAAAUUAAGUACCUGUGUCGUUUACAUUCAAUGUUCGGCAUUGGAGAGUGUUGAAGAAGCUUUGAUAAGACUUAAAAAAUUGCACUUGGCAAGUUCUACUUCUGGAAAAGAGCAAUUGAAUGCUUGUUCUGACCUUGAGAAAAGAAGAAAACUUAAGAAAGAGACUGAGUGCCUAUAGGCAUCUUUCAGACCGAAAGCCGUUUCUCUCAAGUAGGCAUCUGUCAGACCAAAAUAAUGGAGAUCGAGGUGCUGACAAAGUUGAUGUUCCCAAAUAUUCUCAAGAUCCUUUGCAAGGAAUUGACAGUCCAAUGACUAGGGCAAAGACAAAGAGGAUGAAAGAGGUUUUGCAAGGCUUGAUCAUGA